UGCCAGGCUAGCUAGUAUGUGCCCUAUGGAGACCGUCCCAAGUGGCAUCCGGGACAUCACAAAGCUGAUUGAAUGGUGCUGCCAGAUCACAGGCUACUUCCACCUCACCGUCAAGGUGCGGCUGGUGGGGAUGAGGAAGAGGGCCUUCUUGGUGUUGGCCCCCCGGCUCUGGAACUCUCUCCCCAGGGAGAUUCGGUUGGCUCCUUCAUUAACCAUUGUCCACUGGGAAUUGAAGACGUGGAUGUUCCGGUGCGCGUUUGGGUGAAUAAGCCCAUUAGACAUGCAAUCUGUUUACAAAUAUGUACGACACUUUAUCACUGUUCCUCACUCUAUAUGUCUUAGCACUUAAAUGGAACUGUUCCUUUGUUUCUUCCCUAUUUGCCCUGAUUUUACCUAUAGAUCUUUCAGAGCUCUUGCACUAGUCACCCUCUGCUGUAUGUAGCAAUCAACACUCAGGC
rnacentral:lncRNA from 11 species